rnacentral:rRNA from 1 species
AUACGGAGGGGACAAGCGUUAUUCGGAAUCACUGGGCGUAAAGGACGCGUAGGCGGGUUAUUAAGUCGGGUGUGAAAUCCAAUGGCUCAACCAUUGAACUGCAUUCGAAACUGAUAACCUAGAGUAUGGAAGGGGCAGGUGGAAUUAGUGGUGUAGGGGUAAAAUCCGUAGAUAUCACUAGGAAUACCGAAAGCGAAGGCGACCUGCUGGGACAUUACUGACGCUGAGGCGUGAAAGCGUGGGGAGCAAACAGGAUUAGAAACCCGUGUAGUCC